GAUGAAGAACGUAGCGAAAUGCGAUACUUGGUGUGAAUUGCAGAAUCCCGUGAACCAUCGAGUCUUUGAACGCAAGUUGCGCCCGAAGCCACUAGGCCGAGGGCACGCCUGCCUGGGCGUCACACGUCGUUGCCCCCCCAUCUACUCCUUCGGGAUUGCGGGGGGGCGGAUGAUGGCCUCCCGUGCGCCUAGCCGCGCGGUUGGCAUAAAUACCAAGUCCUCAGCGACGCACGCCACGACAAUCGGUGGUUGCGAAACCUCGGUUGCCCGUCGUGUGCGUUCGUCGCGCAUCGAGGGCUCGAAAAAAUGCUCGGCUCCGGCUGGGCUUUCAACGCGACCCCAGGUCAGGCGGGGUUACCCGCUGAAUUUAAGCAUAUCAAUAAGCGGAGGA
rnacentral:misc_RNA from 1 species